CCUACGGGGCGCAGCAGUGAGGAAUAUUGGUCAAUGGGCGCAAGCCUGAACCAGCCAAGUCGCGUGAGGGAUUACGGCCCUACGGGUUGUAAACCUCUUUUGUCGGGGAGCAAAUUCCGCCACGCGUGGCGGCGUCGAGAGUACCCGAAGAAAAAGCAUCGGCUAACUCCGUGCCAGCAGCCGCGGUAAUACGGAGGAUGCGAGCGUUAUCCGGAUUUAUUGGGUUUAAAGGGUGCGUAGGCGGACUGUCAAGUCAGCGGUAAAAUACGGGGGCUCAACCCCCGCCCGCCGUUGCAACUGCCGGU
rnacentral:rRNA from 1 species